rnacentral:snRNA from 1 species
GCACAGGGAGAUGCCAUGAUCAUGAAAGUGGUUUUCCCAGAGGGAGGCUUAUCCAUUGUUAUCUGGAUGUGCUGACCCCUGCGAUUUCCCCAAAUGUGAGAAACUCAGCUGCCUAAUUCGUGGUCGUGGGGGCUGUGUUUGUGCUUUAUCCUA